AGAGGGACUGCCGGCGACAAGUCGGAGGAAGGUGGGGAUGACGUCAAAUCAUCAUGCCCCUUAUGACCUGGGCUACACACGUGCUACAAUGGGCGGUACAAAGGGCUGCGAACCCGCGAGGGGGAGCGAAUCCCAAAAAGCCGCUCUCAGUUCGGAUUGCAGGCUGCAACUCGCCUGCAUGAAGCCGGAAUCGCUAGUAAUCGCGGAUCAGCAUGCCGCGGUGAAUACGGUUCCCGGGCCUU
rnacentral:rRNA from 1 species